rnacentral:lncRNA from 12 species
CUGCUUGUGCGCUUACCCUCCCACUGCCCGCCUUCCGGAAGCCCCAAGCCCUCUGUCCUGACGUGAGCCCGUGUGGCCCCAUGGCCAGCCCAGAUGAGGACUGGGAUCUGCAUAGUAGUAGCUUGGGCUGCAGAGGAGGACCAGGGCUCUGCACCCCAUUGGCAGAAAGUCUGGGUGCUGGUACCCACAUAUCGGACACAGGAAAUCCAGAGGGUGCACCUCCUCCCUUCAAGAAUCCGAGGCCCAGGAAGCGGCAGGAAACAGUGUGGGAGAGGAGCAGCAAUACUCUGCGUCCACAUGUAGGGCUGACACAGAGACUGACCCUGCCUGCUGGUUCUCACCCAUUUUACAGACAUGAACACAGAGGCUCCAGCUGGAGGAAGACCAGGCCAGUGCUCUGCUCCAAGUCACCUGGUCCCCGGAUGCCAGCCUUGGCCCCCAGCCAGUGGUGGGGAUGCAUUGGUGGGUCCACUCCGGGGCAUCCCUGGGAGGCCAGCCGUCUGACCGCUUCCCGAUCCCCUAGACAUCUGGGGGGCAGGGGCACCAGCAGGUGCCCAUCAAGAGAGCCACUAGACUAUUCCUUCCUCUCCAGGCCAACAGCCUCACAGGAAUCACCGAUGUAAAAUGGUCACAGAUACCACAAAUCCAAUCCUCUCUAGUGUGUCAGCAUCACUGAUUGAGCACCUACUGUAUGCCAGCACUGACCCCCACCAUCAGAUCUGAUCCUUGCCAUCGUGACCCAUUGCUGGAAGCCUCGUCCCCAUCUUGUGGCCAUGAGAUCCAGGGUAGUGACACUGACGGCACCCGAGCAGCACACAGGUGUCUCUGUCUUCCCCUCAGUCAGGUGAUAGCAGGCCAGACUGGGCAGAAGCAGAAGGUCCCCAGUCCUGCAGAUGCCCCCACUCACCAGGCCUCAACUUCCCCAUCUGCAAAUGGGUCUGAAGAGAGACCUCACCAUAGCCCCACCCAGAGCAUCGUGCUAGGAAGAGGCAGGCCUCCUCUGAGGCCAAUGUGGUCUCUAACCAACUGAAUGGAAUGCCCUGGAAACAGCUGGGUGUGGGGUAUAGGGGCAUUGGCCCAGACACCCUGAGAUCCCAUCUCCCUUGCACUGCCCUGAGCCAGAAUCUCAAGUUUGCUACAUCCCAUCCACAGAGCUGUACCGUGACACCCAGAGAGCCCAGAGCUCCAGGGCCCCCGCACUGCUCUGGAUGGGAAAGGAAAUGGAUUUGUAAGGAUAGUCAAGGCUUUUUUUUUUUUUCUUUUUUUUACUGUUAAUUGGGUGAGUCUCGCCCCAUUUCCUACAUACACUCGCACACACGCACACUCACAUACCUCUGAUUUCCCAACAAACAAACAAAGCGUCAUCUCUGUUACUGCACAGAAUGUCCUGUUUAGGUUGACAAGAGCCAAAAGGGAUGACCCCAAGCCGUCCCACCAUGAAAUGCAUUUCCAGGAAAAGGUCAAUAGCACAAGUGCCUAACAUACCCCCGACCGGAGAGAGCCCCUGGAGGCCACGUGGGCCCCCAGAACCAUCUGCCAGCCCAUCAAGGGCUGCCUUCCCCACACCGUCCCCCAGGCUCACCCUAAAGCCACCCACCACCCGCUGAGAUCACCCUGACCAGG